AGUGAACGCUGGCGGUAGGCCUGACACAUGCAAGUCGAACGGCAGCACAGUAAGAGCUUGCUCUUACGGGUGGCGAGUGGCGGACGGGUGAGGAAUACAUCGGAAUCUACUUUUUCGUGGGGGAUAACGUAGGGAAACUUACGCUAAUACCGCAUACGACCUACGGGUGAAAGCAGGGGAUCUUCGGACCUUGCGCGAUUGAAUGAGCCGAUGUCGGAUUAGCUAGUUGGCGGGGUAAAGGCCCACCAAGGCGACGAUCCGUAGCUGGUCUGAGAGGAUGAUCAGCCACACUGGAACUGAGACACGGUCCAGACUCCUACGGGAGGCAGCAGUGGGGAAUAUUGGACAAUGGGCGCAAGCCUGAUCCAGCCAUACCGCGUGGGUGAAGAAGGCCUUCGGGUUGUAAAGCCCUUUUGUUGGGAAAGAAAAGCAGCAGGUUAAUACCCCGCUGUUCUGACGGUACCCAAGGAAUAAGCACCGGCUAACUUCGUG
rnacentral:rRNA from 1 species